CCCACACUUAUGGGUCCCAUCCCACACUUAUAGGGUUGCCCCACACUUAUGGGUCGACCCACACUUAUGGGGCAGCCCGCGCCUACUUAUGGGUCCCACCCCACACUUAGGGGGCCGCCCCACACUUAUGGGUCCCGCCCCACACUUAUAGGGCCACCCCACACUUAUGGGGCAGUCCGCACCCACUUAUAGGUCCCACCCCACACUUAGGGGGCCGCCCCACACUUAUGGGUCCUGCCCCACACUUAUAGGGUUGCUCCCCACUUUUGUGUUCCCUCACACUUAUGGGGCUGCCCCACACUUAUGGGGCCCACACCUACUUAUGGGUCCCACCCCACACUUAUAGGGCUGCUCCUCACUUAUGGGGCAGCCCACACCCACUUAUGGGGCUGCCCCACACUUAUAGGGCCGCCCCACACUUAUGGGGCACCCAGAUUUACUUAUGGGGCAGUUCACACUUAUGGGUCCCACUCCACACUUAUGGGUCCCACCCCACACUUAUAGGGCCGCCCCACACUUAUGGGGCAGUCCACCCCACACUUAUGGGUCCCACCCCACACUUAUAGGGCCGCCCCACACUUAUGAGGCAGUCCACACCUACUGUUGGGUCCCGCCCCACACUUAUGGGUCCCACCCCACACUUACAGGGUCACCCCACGCUUAUGGGGCACCCAGGUUUACUUAUGGGGCAGCCCACACUUACAGGGUCGGCCCACACUUAUGGGUCCCACCCCACACUUAUGGGGUCGCCCCACACUUACAUGGUCACCCCACACUUAUGGGGCAGCCCACCCCACACUUAUGGGUCCCACCCCACGCUUAUGGGUCCCACCCCACACUUAUGGGGCAG
rnacentral:lncRNA from 1 species